rnacentral:rRNA from 1 species
CCUACGGGAGGCAGCAGUGGGGAAUAUUGGGCAAUGGAGGAAACUCUGACCCAGCGACGCCGCGUGCGGGAUGAAGGCCUUCGGGUUGUAAACCGCUUUCAGCAGGGAAUAAGCGCAAGUGAAGGUACCUGCAGAAGAAGCACCGGCUAACUAUGUGCCAGCAGCCGCGGUAAUACAUAGGGUGCAAGCGUUGUCCGGAAUUAUUGGGCGUAAAGAGCUCGUAGGUGGUUUGUUACGUCGGUUGUGAAAUUCAGGGGCUCAACCCCUGACUUGCAGCCGAUACGGGCAAGCUAGAGUUUGGUAGGGGAGACUGGAAUUCCUGGUGUAGCGGUGGAAUGCGCAGAUAUCAGGAGGAACACCGAUGGCGAAGGCAGGUCUCUGGGCCAAAUACUGACACUGAGGAGCGAAAGCGUGGGGAGCGAACAGGAUUAGAUACCCUGGUAGUCCACGCCGUAAACGGUGGCGCUAGUUGUGCGAACCUUCCACGGUUUGUGCGACGCNGCUACGACAUAGCGCCCGCCGUCGGGUAGGUACGAGUCGCGAGAAGUAAACGUAACGUAAAGUAAGUUAGUUAGUACGUUGUUAGAGNGCGACGACGACGACGACGGAGGAGGAGG